rnacentral:rRNA from 1 species
CCCAGACUCCUACGGGAGGCAGCAGUGGGGAAUAUUGGGCAAUGGGCGCAAGCCUGACCCAGCAACGCCGCGUGAAGGAAGAAGGCUUUCGGGUUGUAAACUUCUUUUAAGAGGGAAGAGUAGAAGACGGUACCUCUUGAAUAAGCCACGGCUAACUACGUGCCAGCAGCCGCGGUAAUACGUAGGUGGCAAGCGUUGUCCGGAUUUACUGGGUGUAAAGGGCGUGUAGCCGGGCCGGCAAGUCAGAUGUGAAAGCCCAAGGCUCAACCUUGGAACUGCAUUUGAAACUGUUGGUCUUGAGUAUCGGAGAGGCAGGCGGAAUUCCUAGUGUAGCGGUGAAAUGCGUAGAUAUUAGGAGGAACACCAGUGGCGAAGGCGGCCUGCUGGACGACAACUGACGGUGAGGCGCGAAAGCGUGGGGAGCAAACAGGAUUAGAUACCCGCGUAC